CGUCGGGAAGUCAUGGAGACAAAUGAUGCAUGAUUAUGUGCUUUUAUGUACUGUACACGGCUGUCAAAAUCAAACACUGUAUACGCAUGAUGGGCAUGGACGUCCGUGUCUGAAAAGAAGCAGAGGUCAAAUCAAUGGAGGAAUAAAUAAAUAUUCCCAGAACCAGAGCUGCUGAGAGGACUGUUUCAGAUGGAGACACUGAUCAUAUCUUCACUGCAUUCUGGCCUGAGGCUGCUUCCACUUCCUCUGAACUCUCGAAGCUUCUGUCUUCAUAUCCCGGCUAUGGAGGCCAUUAGUAAUCCGUCAUGCCUCUUUGAGGCCACUCUCAUGGAACAGCUUGUGGGGUCCACAUGGCAAUGGGCGUGGAUGGAUUGGUGAGAGGAUAA